UACAUUUUAGUAUAAGAAGUACGGAGGUUUUUGAAGCCUUAAGCGGGGGUUUAACUCCCUCAGAUGUAU
rnacentral:tRNA from 1 species